rnacentral:rRNA from 1 species
AGUGAACGCUGGCGGUAGGCCUAACACAUGCAAGUCGAACGGCAGCACAGUAAGAGCUUGCUCUUACGGGUGGCGAGUGGCGGACGGGUGAGGAAUACAUCGGAAUCUACUUUUUCGUGGGGGAUAACGUAGGGAAACUUACGCUAAUACCGCAUACGACCUACGGGUGAAAGCAGGGGAUCUUCGGACCUUGCGCGAUUGAAUGAGCCGAUGUCGGAUUAGCUAGUUGGCGGGGUAAAGGCCACCAAGGCGACGAUCCGUAGCUGGUCUGAGAGGAUGAUCAGCCACACUGGAGCUGAGACACGGUCCAGACUCCUACGGGAGGGAGCAGUGGGGAAUAUUGGACAAUGGGCGCAAGCCUGAUCCAGCCAUACCGCGUGGGUGAAGAAGGCCUUCGGGUUGUAAAGACCUUUUGUUGGGAAAGAAAAGCAGCAGGUUAAUACCCCGCUGUUCUGACGGUACCCAAAGAAUAAGCACCGGCUAACUUCGUG